AAGAAGGUCUAUCCAGGUCUACCUUUUCCAUUGGUAAAAGGGACUCUGAGUAAGACUUGGACUCUGAGGUGCCUGACGCAUUUCCAACCCGCGUAACUUAGACGCCGCAGCCGGUUGGGUAGCUGCGCGUGUCGGCCAUGAGGUAGGGCAGUGGCAGUAGACCGUUUCUCGCUAAAAAGUGGCGUUUGCCGGAUCGUUUAGCCAGCCCUACCGUGGCGCGACACCCGACCGAGGAUAAAGAGGUCAGAGAUGGCCUCGCCGUCCCUUCUUAUUCUGUAUAACACUAUAUUAAAGAGAGCGGGCCGGCGGACAGGCGAGUUGCUGCGCUAUACUGCUCUAGUCACCGAACUGGGUAGUGCGUGGUAGCCGUUGGUGGUCCGCAUCGGUUAAACCGCAAUGGGAAAUUGAAAUAGAUGGCUUGUGGCGAGUAGGUCGGUCACCCACCCGACCCGUCUUGAAACACGGACCAAGGAGUCUAACAUGUGCGCAAGUCAUGGGGUCUUGUUUAGGCCCAGAGGCGUAAUGAAAGUGAGACAUAGCUUCUUCUUAGAGGAAUAUUAUAAGUUGGGAUUUCCCGAGGAGAUUGGAAGCCCGGGAAAGCACCAACGACCCGCCCUAGUAACUUGAUUUAAUUAUAAAGUGUGGACGGCGUUAGAGCGCACACGUUGGGACCCGAAAGAUGGUGAACUAUGCCUGGGCAGGACGAAGCCAGAGGAAACUCUGGUGGAGGUCCGCAGCG
rnacentral:rRNA from 1 species